AUACAGAGGGUGCGAGCGUUAAUCGGAUUUACUGGGCGUAAAGCGUGCGUAGGCGGCUUUUUAAGUCGGAUGUGAAAUCCCUGAGCUUAACUUAGGAAUUGCAUUCGAUACUGGGAAGCUAGAGUAUGGGAGAGGAUGGUAGAAUUCCAGGUGUAGCGGUGAAAUGCGUAGAGAUCUGGAGGAAUACCGAUGGCGAAGGCAGCCAUCUGGCCUAAUACUGACGCUGAGGUACGAAAGCAUGGGGAGCAAACAGGAUUAGAGACCCUUGUAGUCC
rnacentral:rRNA from 1 species